GGCUCACCAAGGCGACGAUCAGUAGCUGGUCUGAGAGGAUGAUCAGCCACAUUGGGACUGAGACACGGCCCAAACUCCUACGGGAGGCAGCAGUGGGGAAUCUUGCGCAAUGGGCGAAAGCCUGACGCAGCCAUGCCGCGUGAAUGAUGAAGGUCUUAGGAUUGUAAAAUUCUUUCACCGGGGACGAUAAUGACGGUACCCGGAGAAGAAGCCCCGGCUAACUUCGUGCCAGCAGCCGCGGUAAUACGAAGGGGGCUAGCGUUGCUCGGAAUUACUGGGCGUAAAGGGAGCGUAGGCGGACAUUUAAGUCAGGGGUGAAAUCCCGGGGCUCAACCUCGGAAUUGCCUUUGAUACUGGGUGUCUUGAGUAUGAGAGAGGUGUGUGGAACUCCGAGUGUAGAGGUGAAAUUCGUAGAUAUUCGGAAGAACACCAGUGGCGAAGGCGACACACUGGCUCAUUACUGACGCUGAGGCUCGAAAGCGUGGGGAGCAAACAGGAUUAGAUACCCUGGUAGUCCACGCCGUAAACGAUGAUUGCUAGUUGUCGGGAUGCAUGCAUUUCGGUGACGCA
rnacentral:rRNA from 1 species